GACGAACGCUGGCGGCGUGCUUAACACAUGCAAGUCGAACGGAAAGGCCCAGCUUGCUGGGUACUCGAGUGGCGAACGGGUGAGUAACACGUGGGUGAUCUGCCCUGCACUCUGGGAUAAGCCUGGGAAACUGGGUCUAAUACCGGAUAUGACCAACUGUCGCAUGGUGGUUGGUGGAAAGCUUUUGCGGUGUGGGAUGGGCUCGCGGCCUAUCAGCUUGUUGGUGGGGUAAUGGCCUACCAAGGCGACGACGGGUAGCCGACCUGAGAGGGUGAUCGGCCACACUGGGACUGAGACACGGCCCAGACUCCUACGGGAGGCAGCAGUGGGGAAUAUUGCACAAUGGGCGCAAGCCUGAUGCAGCGACGCCGCGUGGGGGAUGACGGCCUUCGGGUUGUAAACCUCUUUCACCAGGGACGAAGCGUGAGUGACGGUACCUGGAGAAGAAGCACCGGCCAACUACGUG
rnacentral:rRNA from 1 species